rnacentral:rRNA from 1 species
GUCGUAACAAGGUUUCCGUAGGUGAACCUGCGGAAGGAUCAUUAUUAUGAUAAAAACUACCACGUGCAUUGUCUUGUAUGUCUGCCACUUUAUUGGCGUUUUUCUCGCUUCGGCGGGGGAGACGGGCUCUGCUUCCAAAGCUGUUUCGCUUGUCGAACCUUUGGUCGUGAGUCGGCUUUCUACUUCAAUACACACCUAAAAUUUGUCGAGAAAUCCAUGUAGAGUUGUGAUUUUAUUCUUUGCGGAAUUGAUCACUUUAACCAAAUACAACCCUCAACAACGGAUAUCUUGGCUCUCGCAACGAUGAAGAACGCAGCGAAAUGCGAUACGUAGUGCGAAUUGCAGGAUGUCGCGAGUCAUCGAAUCUUUGAACGCAUAUUGCGCUCGAGGCUUCGGCCGAGAGCAUGUCUGCCUGAGCGUCACUGAUAUAUUCGACUUCCAUCUUAUUUCACGAUAAGUGUGGGAGCUCGGACCUGACCUCUUCCCAGCGUUGGACUCGUCCUUCGUGCUGGGUGGGUUGAAGUUCAGAGGCGUGGACGCUUUCUCCCGCGGAUGGGUCUCUUUCCAAGAGCCUUUCCAUGUGGCGUGGUCAGCAGUUUCUGCUUCGAUCGCUGCAACGGGAGAUGCGCACCGCUGCCGUAACCACUUUCCAUUUAUCUUACGACCUCAGAUCAGGCAAGAGUACCCGCUGAACUUAAGCAUAUCACUAAGCGGAGGAAAAGAAACUAACCAGGAUUCCUAUAGUAACGGCGAGUGAACUAGGAAAAGCCCAACUGAAAAUCCUUCGGGAAUUGUAGUCUACAGAAGCAAUCUCUGUGUCGUCCACGGCCCAAGUUCCCUGGAAAGGGACGCCGGAGAGGGUGAGAGCCCCGUCGGCUGUGUUUCGUCACUCCACGAGAUGCUUUCUCAGAGUCGGGUAGUUUGGGAAUGCUGCCCUAAUUUGGAGGUAAAUUCCUUCUAAGGCUAAAUACUGGCGAGAGACCGAUAGCGAACAAGUACCGUGAGGGAAAGAUGAAAAGCACUUUGAAAAGAGAGUUAAAAGGGUUUGAAAUUGUUGAGGGGGAAGGAAAUGGUUGCCGGUGUGCACUUUGGUUUUAUGUUUAGUUAACGCUAAGCCUAUCAACGCAUUGUGCUGGUCAGCGUGGGUUGGACGGGCGGUAUAACCACGUACUGCCGCCUGUUCGACCAAGAUCGGAGGUAACGCUCGAGACGCUGACGGAAGGUAACCACUUCACCCGUCUUGAAACACGGACCAAGGAGUCUAACAUGUAUGCGAGUCGGCGGGUGGAAGACCCGUAGGCGCAAGUAACCUAACAGGUGGGAUUUUUGCACCAUCGACCAACCUUGAUCUUCUGUGAAGGGUUUGAGUACGAGCAUACCUGUUGGGACCCGAAAGAUGGUGAACUAUGCGUGA